UAGUCAAAUCACUAGUAAGGCCUCACCAGG
rnacentral:piRNA from 1 species